UCUCCGUUGGUGAACCAGCGGAGGGAUUAUUACCGAGUUAUCAACUCCCAAACCCCUGUGAACAUACCCAACGUUGCUUCGGCGGGACCGCCCCGGCGCCCUCGGCGUCCCGGAACCAGGCGCCCGCCGGAGGACCCAAACUCUUGUUUAAACCAUAGUGGCAUAUUCUGAGUCUCACAAGAAAAAUGAAUCAAAACUUUCAACAACGGAUCUCUUGGCUCUGGCAUCGAUGAAGAACACAGC
rnacentral:misc_RNA from 1 species